UGUAUACGCGGCUGUGAUUCCGCUGUGCAUGUGUGAUUCUGCAGUUCUGUUUGUACAGCGAAUAUGGUCUUAAAGAGGGUUUCCAGAAACCCUGACCGAGUCAGGAAACCUCUAUAAAACCAAGCGGAAACCUACUGAGAGGACAGACACCCAGAACUCAUCCUCGUUUGAGCUGAGUGUGGCGUUUUGACCAGUAGUAGACGUUUAGGUGACUUGCAAAGCCAGAAGGCUCACACCUCUGAAUUUUCUGAAUGACAGCAAAGAAAUGGCAUGUGCGUUUUUAUGUGUCAUCAUAUCUCACCUGAAUCUGCUGAAUUUGCAAGUGCAAGUGUCUGUGGCAUGCGCUGGCUCUCGCGGCCGUCAUCAUCCUGCCCGAACACCCAGCGGCGACGAACCUUGGCGAAGAUGGCAGGGAGAGAGCCGCAAGUGUGCAGGGGGCGGAGCACAAAGCCUGAGCCCCACCGUGGCACCAGCGUUGUCCUCCUCCUCUCGAUGAGGACGCUGGUGCCAGCCACGAGAGGCACCAGGGCAAGGAGUCCCAAGCACCACCUGUUACGCUGUAAGGCUGCUUCACUACACCUCACGCUCGACCCGGGUGGCCGAGCUGCCAGCUGGGGGCGGUGACGAGAAGGCAGAGCGGUGAGCUCUUUUUCCUUCUCUGCUCGGGUGAUUUUAAAAGGAGCUGAGUGAACAGAGAGAGAGAGAGAGAGGGACAAGCAGCAGCAACAGAAGACCGAGUGGAAGAGCUGAAAAGCUUGAGUAAGAGACUGAAAGCCUAGCUGUCUGAAGCUACCGAAAAGUGGCCAGCAUAUCUUUGAUUGUAUUUGCUUUGUGUUUAUUUGGGAAAUAAAUAUGGCUGCUGCAAAACAGAA